UCUUUAUGAUGGGAUUAGGGUCUGAAAAACUCAUAAAGUUUUGUGUUGUUAUCAGCUUCAUCUUUCAUACAACAACACUAAAUUU